rnacentral:rRNA from 1 species
GAUGAACGCUGGCGGCGUGCCUAAUACAUGCAAGUCGAGCGAACAGACGAGGAGCUUGCUCCUCUGACGUUAGCGGCGGACGGGUGAGUAACACGUGGAUAACCUACCUAUAAGACUGGGAUAACUUCGGGAAACCGGAGCUAAUACCGGAUAAUAUAUUGAACCGCAUGGUUCAAUAGUGAAAGACGGUUUUGCUGUCACUUAUAGAUGGAUCCGCGCCGCAUUAGCUAGUUGGUAAGGUAACGGCUUACCAAGGCAACGAUGCGUAGCCGACCUGAGAGGAUGAUCCGCCACACUGGAACUAGGACAAGCACCCACAUCCUAACGGAGGCAGCAGCCGGGAAUCUUCGGCAGUGGGCGGAAGGCUGAAGGGGCGAAGCCGCGUGAGUGAGGCAGGUCUUCGGAUCGUAAAACACUGUUAUUAGGGAAGAACAAAUGUGUAAGUUAAUAUGAACGUCUUGACGGUACCUAAUCAGAAAGCAACGGCUAACUCCGUG